AUACGUAGGGUGCGAGCGUUAAUCGGAAUUACUGGGCGUAAAGCGUGCGCAGGCUGUUUUGUAAGUCAGAUGUGAAAUCCCCGAGCUCAACUUAGGAACUGCGUUUGAAACUACAAGACUAGAAUAUGUCAGAGGGGGGUAGAAUUCCACGUGUAGUAGUGAAAUGCGUAGAGAUGUGGAGGAAUACCAAUGGCGAAGGCAGCCCCCUGGGAUAAUAUUGACGCUCAUGCACGAAAGCGUGGGGAGCAAACAGGAUUAGAUACCCUGGUAGUCCACGCCCUAAACGAUGUCUACUAGUUGUUGGUGGAGUAAAAUCCAUGAGUAACGCAGCUAACGCGUGAAGUAGACCGCCUGGGGAGUACGGUCGCAAGAUUAAA
rnacentral:rRNA from 1 species